rnacentral:rRNA from 1 species
GAUGAACGCUGGCGGCGUGCCUAAUACAUGCAAGUCGAGCGAACGGACGAGAAGCUUGCUUCUCUGAUGUUAGCGGCGGACGGGUGAGUAACACGUGGAUAACCUACCUAUAAGACUGGGAUAAUUUCGGGAAACCGGAGCUAAUACCGGAUAAUAUUUUGAACCGCAUGGUUCAAAAGUGAAAGACGGUCUUGCUGUCACUUAUAGAUGGAUCCGAGCUGCAUUAGCUAGUUGGUAAGGUAACGGCUUACCAAGGCAACGAUGCAUAGCUGACCUGAGAGAGUGAUCGGCCACACUGGAACUGAGACACGGUCCAGACUCCUACGGGAGGCAGCAGUAGGGAAUCUGCCGCAAUGGGCGAAAGCCUGACGGAGCAACGCCGCGUGAGUGAUGAAGGUCUUCGGAUCGUAAAACUCUGUUAUUGGGGAAGAACAUAUGUGUAAGUAACUGUGCACAUCUUGACGGUACCUAAUCAGAAAGCCACGGCUAACUACGUG